AUCAUGCUCACCUUCCUCAGCAUCUGCCCCAUCAUCCUUGUCUCAGUCACAGGUGAACAAGGCAGUGUUGCACAAAGUAGCAUUAGUGCCUGAAGACCAAGAUGUGGAAGAGGAGGCAAAAGGUAUCCAGAAUUAUUUGGAAAAUUUGUGUGAGAAAACUCCACUAGUUGUUAAAGAAAUAUCAAAGAUCUACGUCAAGAAGGUGCCCCUGCUGGUUGUGAACAAAGUGUCCUUCACUGUGCAAG